UACGAAGGGGGCUAGCGUUGCUCGGAAUUACUGGGCGUAAAGGGCGCGUAGGCGGAUGUUUAAGUUGGGGGUGAAAGCCCGGGGCUCAACCUCGGAAUUGCCUUCAAUACUGGACAUCUUGAGUACGGGAGGGGUGAGUGGAACUCCGAGUGUAGAGGUGAAAUUCGUAGAUAUUCGGCGGAACACCAGUGGCGAAGGCGACUCACUGGCCCGAUACUGACGCUGAGGCGCGAAAGCGUGGGGAGCAAACAGG
rnacentral:rRNA from 1 species